rnacentral:rRNA from 1 species
GACGAACGCUGGCGGCGUGCCUAAUACAUGCAAGUCGAACGCAGUGGGGACGGGUGAGUAACACGUGGGUAACCUCCCAUCAGAGGGGAUAACACUUGGAAACAGGUGCUAAACCGCUACUGAUGGAUGGACCCGCUGUGCAUUAGCUAGUUGGUGAGGUAACGGCGCACCAAGGCCACGAUGCCUACCCGAGCCGGGAGGGUGAUCGGACAAACUGGGAAUGAGAAACGGCCCAGACUCCUACGGGAGGCAGCAGUAGGGAAUCUUCGGCAAUGGACGAAAGUCUGACCGAGCAACGCCGCGGGAGUGAAGAAGGUUUUCGGAUCGUAAAGCUCUGUUGUUAGAGAAGCGGUAACUAACCAGAAAGGGACGGCUAACUACGUGCCAGCCGCCGCGGUAAUAC